rnacentral:rRNA from 1 species
CCUACGGGCGGCUGCAGUGGGGAAUAUUGCACAAUGGGCGCGAGCCUGAUGCAGCCAUGCCGCGUGUGUGAAGAAGGCCUUCGGGUUGUAAAGCACUUUCAGCGGGGAGGAAGGCGGUGAGGUUAAUAACCUCAUCGAUUGACGUUACCCGCAGAAGAAGCACCGGCUAACUCCGUGCCAGCAGCCGCGGUAAUACGGAGGGUGCAAGCGUUAAUCGGAAUUACUGGGCGUGAAGCGCACGCAGGCGGUCUGUCAAGUCGGAUGUGAAAUCCCCGGGCUCAACCUGGGAACUGCAUUCGAAACUGGCAGGCUAGAGUCUUGUAGAGGGGGGUAGAAUUCCAGGUGUAGCGGUGAAAUGCGUAGAGAUCUGGAGGAAUACCGGUGGCGAAGGCGGCCCCCUGGACAAAGACUGACGCUCAGGCGCGAAAGCGUGGGGAGCAAACAGGAUUAGAUACCCGAGUAGUC